rnacentral:lncRNA from 1 species
UUGUGAUGGGAAAUUGGGAAUGGGUAAUGAUAUGUCGUAUAUCCUCUUCUUGACCACACACUACUCCUCCUAACCACAUAACUUUUAACCUUGACCACUUAACUUCAGCCGUUCCCCACAAAUCAUCUAACCUUGUCACAAUUCCUCAGCCUCUAACCACAACAACCUUGACCACAGUAACCACCAACACUCUGUGUCGCCUUACCACAGCACCCUAUAACCCCGUCCACAUCAAUAUUUCUCCUGACCACAUAACUUCAACUUUUACAAACACCAGCCAUCAAAGUAAUCUAAAAAUAAAACAAUCUAAGGGUCCUGCUAGAAGCCCAAAACUCCAUAAACCUGUCACAUAUUAAUUGACUAAACAAAGAACGUAACUAGUGUUGAUAAGCUAACGAGAAU